AUUGAACGCUGGCGGCAUGCCUUACACAUGCAAGUCGAACGGUAACAGAUCUUCGGAUGCUGACGAGUGGCGAACGGGUGAGUAAUACAUCGGAACGUGCCUAGUAGUGGGGGAUAACUACUCGAAAGAGUGGCUAAUACCGCAUGAGAUCUACGGAUGAAAGCAGGGGAUCGCAAGACCUUGUGCUACUAGAGCGGCCGAUGGCAGAUUAGGGAGUUGGUGGGAUAAAAGCUUACCAAGCCGACGAUCUGUAGCUGGUCUGAGAGGACGAUAAGCCACACUGGGACUGAGACACGGCCCAGACUCCUACGGGAGGCAGCAGUGGGGAAUUUUGGACAAUGGGCGCAAGCCUGAUCCAGCAAUGCCGCGUGCAGGAUGAAGGCCUUCGGGUUGUAAACUGCUUUUGUACGGAACGAAAAGCCCUGGGUUAAUACCCUGGGGUCAUGACGGUACCGUAAGAAUAAGCACCGGCUAACUACGUGCCAGCCGCCGCGGUAAUAC
rnacentral:rRNA from 1 species